AAAACGCGUAACCCUAAAUCCCUAAUAAUCACAAUCAGUUUCCAGUGAUUUCCCCUUUCCAGUUUCCAGAAACCAUUCUUCACCCACAGCAGUUCACCACCGAGCCACCACCCCGUCCUGCUUCUGGCCGAGCCCUAAAUCCCCUAAUCAGUUUCCAGAAAUCACCACGCUCCAGAAAUCACCGAAGCACAGUUCACCACCCAGUCACACACAGCCAUCAGCCCUCUUCGCAGUCGCAUACCCACCAGCCCACCACCACCAAUCGAGCAGCCACAGCAGCGACCACCGCAACCACCACCGUCGUUGCCGAGCUCGCCAACUCCUUGGUCGUCGCCGAGCUCGCCUCCUCCUCGGUCGUCCGAGCUCGCCCGUCCUCGCCGUUACUCGCCUCCUCCUUGGAUAACGUCAGAGAUAUGGUUGAUAAUUUUCUUGAAUUUGUUGUGAACAAUCAUCAUGUCAACAGGGAGCGAGAACCAGUAUCAAUGUUACAGGCUUUUCAAAUAUCUUUGGUCAGAACAGCGAUUUCAAAUAUCUUUGCCUAAUGUAGCUGAUUUUUCAAAUACAACUUCUUUUGAUGGUACUUCUAAUGAUGGUGGCUUUGGAUUACCUGUUUAUGAUGGAGAUAUUGAAACACUUAAUGAUAAUUAUGAUUUUUGAUGAGUUGCACCUUUGAUUAGUUGAAAACUUGCUAGUAAU